UCCCCGGCCUCUUUUCCUGCAUCACCACCGCGGGCCAGUCUUUCCCCGAUCGCUACACUCCGAUGCUCCCUCCUCCGCGGCCUACCCCUUCCUAAUCGCGUCGUUGCCGCCGCCGCCGCCGCUGCGAGGCGGCCGCUGCCCUUUUCCGCUCGCUUUGUAUGGAAACGCGCAGCCGCAAGCGGGCUGAGGCCUCCUCUUCUUGCGCGACCUCCUCGUCCCGCUCCUCGAAGCGCUCGCGUCCCAACCCUAACCCUAACCCCCCCGCAAACACUGCCGCCAAGCCCGCGCCGGCGCCACCACGGACCCGCCGCUCCGCCGCUGCCAACCCCCUCCCCGCGAUGGACUCCUCGGGCGACAACAAUCCCAACCCCAACCUGCUGCCGCGACGCCGCGGCCGCUCCUCCAACGCAGAUAAAGGUAAGGAGCAGCAGCAGCCGGAGCCCUCUGAGAGCUCCCGAGUGCGUGAGGCCGAGCGGCUACUGGGCUUAGGUUUCAAGGGCACUGAGGACGACGACGACGCCGGAUUCGGUGCUGGUGCCAUCCCCCACAGCCUGACCUCAGCGAGCACUGCUCUCCAGGGGCUGCUUAGGAAGCUGGGCGCUGGCCUGGAUGACAUCCUUCCUUCGUCGGCCCUGUCAGCCGCAGCUGCGUCAUCAUCAUCAGCAUCCGGACAGUUGGGUGGGAGGUUGAAGAAGGUACUUGUGGGGCUGCGUGCGGAUGGGGAGGACGGGCGGCAGGUGGAGGCACUGACACAACUCUGUGAGAUGCUGUCCAUUGGCACAGAAGAAUCACUCAGAGCAUUCUCGGUGGACUCGUUUGUCCCUGUCCUGGUUGGGCUGCUCAAUCACGAGAGCAACCCAGACAUCAUGCUGCUUGCUGCACGUGCCCUAACUCACCUCUGUGAUGUGCUUCCAUCUUCCUGCUCUGCUGUUGUGCAUUAUGGUGCUGUGCCCUGCUUUUGCGCCCGGCUUCUCACCAUUGAAUACAUGGACUUGGCGGAGCAGUCUUUGCAAGCUCUUAAGAAAAUAUCCCUGGAGCAUCCAACUGCCUGCUUGCGGGCUGGUGCGCUAAUGGCAGUUCUAUCAUACCUUGACUUUUUCUCCACAGGUGUUCAGAGAGUUGCAUUAUCUACAGCUGCUAAUAUGUGUAGGAAACUUCCUUCCGAUGCAUCCGAUUUUGUAAUGGAAGCGGUUCCACUUCUUACAAAUCUACUGAACUACCAUGAUUCAAAAGUACUGGAGCAUGCUUCUGUCUGCCUUACCCAUAUCGUGGAAGCUUUUUCAUCAUCCCCAGAAAAAUUGGAUGAGUUAUGCAAUCAUGGAUUGGUUGCACAAGCUGCUAGCCUAAUAUCUGUUAGCAACUCAGCAGGACAGGCAUCCUUGAGUACAUCGACAUAUACGGGUGUGAUUCGUCUUCUCUCAAUAUGCGCAAGCGGAUCACCAUUGGCAUCUAAAACACUUCUCCUCCUUGGAAUUAGUGGUAUACUUAAAGAUGUCCUUUCAGGCUCUGGGUUGGUUGCUGGUACGACAGUAACCCCUACUUUAACAAGACCAGCUGAUCAGAUUAUUGAGAUCGUGAAGCUUGCAGAUGAGUUGCUUCCUCCACUACCUGUUGGAACCAUUUCAUUACCUAUGUAUUCUGAUGUUCACAUGAAAGGUUCUUCUGUAAAGAAAUCCACCUGUAGUAAGCAGGGUGAACCUGGUUCAAUAGAAAAUGAAUUAUCAGGUCGGGAGAAGUUAUUGCGUGAUCAGCCUGAACUCCUGCAUCAGUUUGGUAUGGAUUUGUUACCUAUCAUGACACAGGUGUAUGGCUCUAGCGUAAGUGGAUCAGUACGCCAUAAAUGCUUAUCUGUCAUUGGGAAAUUAAUGUACUAUAGCUCAGCCGAGAUGAUCCAAUCUCUCCUUAGCACAACAAACAUUUCCAGCUUUUUAGCUGGCAUUUUAGGUUGGAAAGAUCCACAAGUGCUGAUCCCUGCUCUUCAGAUAGCAGAAGUUCUAAUGGAAAAGCUUCCAGAGAUAUUUUUAAAAAUGUUUGUGCGGGAAGGCGUUGUUCAUGCUGUAGAGUUACUUAUAUGCCCAGAGUUCUCUGGUCAGGUCACUCCUCAAAUGUCACAGCUGGACAAUCAUGUCGAUUCCAUUACAUCUUCUUGUUCUAGGCGCAACCGCUGUCGGAAUAAUGCUGUGAAUACUGAAAACAACUUGCCUGAUGAACCAAAAGGUUCCCAUUCUGUGAUUGCCAAUGCGCUACUAAGCACAACUGAGGUUCAAAAUAAUGAUCUUUGUGCUUUAGUUAGUAAUCUUGCAAAGUCAUUUAAAGAUAAGUAUUUCCCUUCAGAGCCUGGCUCAACUGACAUUUCGGUGACUGAUGACCUCCUUAAACUGAGGGUGCUUUGUGCGAAACUGAAUACAACAGCUGACACUAUCAAAACAAAAGCUAAAGGAAAAUCUAAGGCUACAAUGGGCAAUAGUUUUGAUGUCAUAUGCAAUGUUGAAGACCAGUUGGAUAGUAUAAUUGCUGAAAUGUUAUCUGAGCUUAGCAAAGGGGAUGGUGUUUCGACAUUUGAGUUUAUUGGAAGUGGAGUUGUUACAGCAUUGCUAAACUAUCUGUCAUGUGGGUCAUUUGGGAGGGAAAAGGUGCCUGAAGCAAACUUACCAAAUUUGCGUCAUCAGGCAGUGAGGCGAUAUAAGGCAUUUAUAUCUGUUGCCCUUCCAAAUUAUGAAGAUGGGAAUAGAACUCCUAUGGCAUUGCUAGUUCAGAAACUGCAAGGUGCACUCUCUUCAUUGGAGCAUUUUCCAGUUGUGCUUAGCCAUUCUGGAAGGGUACAAACUUUGGGAGGAUCGCGUCUGGUGACUGGUUUAGGAACUCUUUCACAGCCCUUCAAGUUGCGCCUUUGUCGAGCGCCAGGUGAAAAGUCGCUUAAGGAUUAUUCAUCCAAUAUUGUUCUUAUCGACCCGUUGGCAAGUCUGGCAGCUGUUGAAGAAUUCCUUUGGCCUAGAGUUCAGCGCACUGAGUCAGUCUCAAAACCUGUAGUGUCAUCUGCAAAUAACUCGGAAUCUGGAGCAGCUAUUUCCACAGCUGGGGCACUAUCAAUUCCUUCAGCAACUCAAUCUGCACGUCGUGCCUCAUUAAGGUCAAAGUCCUCAGCUGCCACUAGUGGUGCAAUUAACAAGGAUCAUCAGGAGGGGAGCAUAAAUGCAUUAAAAGGAAAAGGUAAAGCUGUUCUAAAAUCGAGUUUGGAUGAACCAAAAGGCCCACAUACUAGGAAUGCUGCACGCAGAAAAGCUGCUUCAGAGAAUGAUGUUGAACUGAAGCCAUCAAAUGGCCACAGCACGUUAGAGGAUGAAGAUCUUGAUGCUUCUCCAGUUGAGAUUGAUGAUGCUUUAAUGAUUGAUGACGAUGAUGAGGAUGUCUCACAGGAUGAAGAUGCCGAUCAUGAGGUUCUCCAAGGGUCUCGUCCUGCCUGUGUUCCUGAGAGAGUGCAUGAUGUAAGAUUGGGAGAUGCUGAUGAUUCGAGUGUCGUCUCAUUGGCAAAUAGUAAUCAGGCACAGCCCUCAUCUGGUUCCAGUACAAAAAAUACUUCUAGCACAGGACUGGAUGCUGCUGAAUUUAGAAGUCCAAGCACAUUUGGUUCACGGGGUGCAAUGUCCUUUGCUGCAGCUGCAAUGGCUGGAUUAGGUAGUCGUGGUAUUAGAGGUAGUCGAGAUAGGAGUCGUGCAACUGAGCAUUACAAUAAAUUGAUAUUUACAGCUGGUGGGAAGCAGCUUAACAAACAUUUGACAGUAUAUCAAGCUGUACAACGGCAAGUAGUUCAUGAUGAUGAAGAUGUAGACCAGUUAGGUGGCUCUGAUUUACCUGAUGAUGGUAACCACUUCUGGGGUGAUGUAUUUACUGUAACAUAUCAGAAGGCUGAUUACGCAGUGGAGAAAGGGCCUGUGGGAGGUUCAGCUUCAGCGCCAAAAUUUUCCCAGUCAGAUUCUUGCAAACCAUUAUCUAGAAAACAGUGUACUUCCCUCCUUGAUAGUAUUUUGCAAGGAGAGCUUCCUUGUGAUUUAGAGAAAUCAAACCAAACCUACAACAUCUUAUCACUCUUACGUGUGUUGGAGGGCCUGAAUCAGUUAUCUCCUCGUCUGAGACUGCAGGCAACCUCCGAUAAUUUUGUGGAGGGAAAAGUUGCUACGCUAGAUGGACUGUAUGGUGUUGGAGCUAAGGUACCCCUGGAGGAGUUUGUCAACACUAAGAUGACCCCAAAGCUUGCUCGGCAAAUUCAGGAUGUUCUUGCACUGUGUAGUGGCAGUUUACCAUCUUGGUGUUAUCAGCUGACAAAAGCUUGUCCUUUUCUGUUUCCUUUUGAAACACGAAGACAAUACUUCUAUUCCACAGCUUUUGGGUUAUCUCGUGCACUGCAUCGUCUUCAGCAACAUCCGGGUGAUAAUAACAACACUGCCAUUGAAAGAGAAAUUCGGGUUGGUAGAUUGCAACGCCAGAAAGUCCGUGUUUCUCGUAACCGUAUCUUGGAUUCAGCAGCUAAAGUUAUGGAGAUGUUCUCCAAUCAGAAGGCUGUUCUAGAAGUUGAAUACUUCGGUGAAGUUGGAACUGGACUUGGUCCAACUUCAGAGUUUUAUACUCUCUUAAGCCAUGACCUGCAAAGGGUUGACUUAGGAUUAUGGAGAUCUCACUCUACAGGCAAUUCUGGCACGCAAAUUGAUGGGAAUGGAUAUCAUUUAAUAGGUAUAAAGCAUGAAUCAGAAUCACUUUUUGAGAGCAGGAAUGUAGUACAAGCACACCUUGGUUUGUUUCCUCAGCCCUGGCCACCUAGUGCUGCUGCAUUGGAAGGUAGCAAAUUCUUCAAAGUCGUCGAGUAUUUCCGAUUAGUUGGUCGUGUGAUGGCAAAAGCAUUGCAAGAUGGAAGGCUUCUUGACUUGCCUUUGUCGACAGCAUUUUACAAACUAUUACUUGGACAAGAACUUGAAUUGUAUGAUGUACUAUCAUUUGAUACUGAGUUUGGAAAGAUUUUGCAAGAGCUGCAAAUUCUUGUUGCACGUAAGCGAUUUCUGGAAUCCUGCUGCAGUGAUAGCCGAAAAAUAGAAGAAUUAUGCUUCCGUGGUGCUCCUGUUGAAGACCUGUGUUUAGACUUCACUCUUCCAGGCUAUCCUGAUUAUGUUCUAAAGGAAGGUGGAGAGAACGUGGUGGUUGACAUUUAUAACUUAGAAGAAUAUAUUUCUUUGGUUGUGGAUGCUACUGUUAAGACUGGAAUAAUGCGGCAAGUAGAGGCAAUGAAAGCAGGAUUUAAUCAGGUAUUCGACAUAUCAUCACUCCAAAUAUUUUCUCCUCAAGAACUUGAUUAUCUGAUUUGUGGUCGCCGUGAACUUUGGGAGCCGGAAAUACUGCUUGAACAUAUAAAAUUCGACCACGGUUAUACCUCUAAGAGUCCUGCAAUUGUCAAUUUUCUUGAGAUCAUGGCAGAAUUUACUCCUGAGCAGCAACAUUCUUUCUGCCAAUUUGUGACUGGUGCUCCUCGGCUUCCACCUGGUGGUUUGGCUGCCCUAAAUCCUAAAUUAACUAUUGUUAGGAAGCACUCUUCAUCUGCAGCAAAUACUACAAAUGCAACUGGAGCAAUAGAGUCUGCAGAUGACGAUUUGCCCAGUGUCAUGACUUGUGCUAACUAUCUUAAACUGCCACCUUACUCAACCAAGGAAUUCAAGAGUGAACUUACUUGAUGAUUAAGUUGACGAGCACGGACGGGAGUAAUGGGAUCAGAAACUGGUACUUGUGUCGGCGUAGAAAUUGGUAUUUGUGUCGGCGUGGAUGUAUCAUUGAUGGUGAUGUCCUCAUCAGAUUUUCUCUGGAUAGUUUCAAAUAUGAAAGUUGAAUGAUGAGUCUUGGUAAUGGCAAGCCAAAACUCUCGUUUCUCGGUGGCUGCCUUAUGCUUCGGUGUAGGCUAUCAUGUUAAAGAAACUGCUUUAUGCGAUCAAUGAAGGCCAAGGGUCAUUUGAUCUUUCGUAAGGCUCAAGACUAACAUAGAUAUUGGUCUCCCUUGACAUUUGCGACAUUGCUAGCCAGAGUUAGUUUCAACCUGUCAUGUAAGACAUAGGUUAAAGUCAGCUCACCCCCAGAGUCCGCUGAGGUUUCGAGCCCGCAUCUUUGGGUGUGCAUGUCUAUAUUCUCUGAUCACAUCUGGUUGUAUAUUCCUGUGGAUCUUUAUAGUGAAUAAUAAUAAAUUCUUUUUGUUAUAACCAAACUCCUUGGAAUCUGUUUCUAAGCUGUAAUACUUGGAUUUGCGAGCUCUCGUGAGCUCAUAGAGUGCAUGAUAGCUGGUUGUUACAGCGAAUGAUUAUUUGGAA